UGCGGGAUGGUGUAGCGGUAGCACGGAUGACUCUGGAUCAUCAAGCCUAGGUUCGAUCCCUAGUCCCGCAGCCA
rnacentral:tRNA from 1 species